CCUACGGGAGACAGCAGUGAGGAAUAUUGGUCAAUGGGCGAGAGCCUGAACCAGCCAAGUCGCGUGAGGGAGUACUGCCCUAUGGGUUGUAAACCUCUUUUGUCGGGGAGCAAAAGCCGGACGUGUCCGGCUGUGAGAGUACCCGAAGAAAAAGCAUCGGCUAACUCCGUGCCAGCAGCCGCGGUAAUACGGAGGAUGCGAGCGUUAUCCGGAUUUAUUGGGGUUAAAGGGUGCGCAGGCGGAUUUUUAAGUCAGCGGUCAAAUCGUGGGGCUCAACCCCAUCCAGCCGUUGAAACUGGGGAUCUAGAGUGUGCGAGAGGUAUGCGGAAUGCGUGGUGUAGCGGUGAAAUGCAUAGAUAUCACGCAGAACCCCGAUUGCGAAGGCAGCAUACCGGUGCACAACUGACGCUCAGGCACGAAAGCGUGGGUAUCGAACAGGAUUAGAUACCCCGGUAGUC
rnacentral:rRNA from 1 species